rnacentral:rRNA from 1 species
UACGGGGGGAGCAAGCGUUGUUCGGAUUUACUGGGCGUAAAGGGCGCGUAGGCGGCCAGCACAAGUCAGUUGUGAAAUCUCCGAGCUUAACUCGGAAAGGUCAACUGAUACUGUGCGGCUAGAGUGCGUUCGGGGCAGAGGGAAUUCCUGGUGUAGCGGUGAAAUGCGUAGAUAUUGGGAAGAACACCGGUGGCGAAAGCGCGCGACUGGACCUGAACUGACACUGAGGGACGAAAGCUAGGGGAGCGAAAGGG